rnacentral:rRNA from 1 species
UACGAAGGGGGCUAGCGUUGCUCGGAAUUACUGGGCGUAAAGGGCGCGUAGGCGGAUAGUUUAGUCAGAGGUGAAAGCCCAGGGCUCAACCUUGGAACUGCCUUUGAUACUGGCUAUCUUGAGUUCGGGAGAGGUGAGUGGAAUGCCGAGUGUAGAGGUGAAAUUCGUAGAUAUUCGGCGGAACACCAGUGGCGAAGGCGACUCACUGGCCCGAUACUGACGCUGAGGCGCGAAAGCGUGGGGAGCAAACAGG